UACAGAGGUCUCAACCGUUGUUCGGAUUCAUUGGGCGUAAAGGGUGGCGUAGGCGGUCGUGCAAGUCGGAUGUGAAAUCUCAGGGCUCAACCCUGAAACUGCAUUCGAUACUGCGCGGCUAGAGUGCUGGAGGGGAGACUGGAAUUGACGGUGUAGUCAGUGAAAUGCGUAGAUAUCGUAAGGAAGACCAGUGGCGAAGGCGGGUCUCUGGACAGUUCCUGACGCUGAGGCACGAAGGCCAGGGAGCAAACGGG
rnacentral:rRNA from 1 species